rnacentral:rRNA from 1 species
UACGUAGGGGGCAAGCGUUGUCCGGAUUUAUUGGGCGUAAAGAGCGUGUAGGCGGCUAGGUAGGUCCGUUGUGAAAACUCGAGGCUCAACCUCGAGACGUCGAUGGAAACCAUCUAGCUAGAGUCCGGAAGAGGAGAGUGGAAUUCCUGGUGUAGCGGUGAAAUGCGUAGAUAUCGAGAGGAACACCGGUGGCGAAGGCGGCCUUCUGGACAGUGACUGACGCUGAGACGCGAAAGCGUGGGGAGCAAACAGG